GAUGAAGAACGCAGCGAACGUGCGAAACGUAAUGUGAAUUGCAGAAUUCAGUGAAUCAUCGAAUCUUUGAACGCACAUUGCGCCCGCCAGUAUUCUGGCGGGCAUGCCUGUUCGAGCGUCAUUACAACCCUCAGGCCCCCGGGCCUGGCGUUGGGGAUCGGCAGAAGCCCCCUGUGGGCACACGCCGUCCCUCAAAUACAGUGGCGGUCCCGCCGCAGCUUCCAUUGCGUAGUAGCUAACACCUCGCAACUGGAGAGCGGCGCGGCCAUGCCGUAAAACACCCAACUUCUGAAUGUUGACCUCGAAUCAGGUAGGAAUACCCGCUGAACUUAAGCAUAUCAAUAAGCGGAGGA
rnacentral:misc_RNA from 1 species